AUGACGGUGACACCGCAGAUCACGGUGAGCGACGGGAGGCUGGCGGUGCGCGGCCGGACGGUGCUGUCCGGCGUGCCGGACAACAUCGCCGCGGCGCACGCUGCGGGGGCUGGGCUCGUCGACGGGGCCUUCGUCGGCGCCACGGCCGCCGAGGCCAAGAGCCACCACGUCUUCACCUUCGGAACUCUCCGCGAUUGCCGAUUCAUGUGCCUGUUCCGGUUCAAGCUGUGGUGGAUGACGCAGCGCAUGGGCACCUCCGGCCGCGACGUCCCGCUGGAGACCCAAUUCAUCCUCAUCGAGGUCCCUGCCGCCGCCGGCAACGACGACGACGACUCGGACGGCGACAGCGAGCCGGUGUACCUGGUGAUGCUGCCGCUGCUGGAGGGGCAGUUCCGCACGGUGCUCCAGGGCAACGACCAAGACGAGCUCCAGAUCUGCAUCGAGAGCGGGGACAAAGCGGUGCAGACGGAGCAGGGCAUGAACAGUGUGUACGUCCACGCCGGCACCAACCCCUUCGACACCAUCACCCAGGCCGUCAAGGCCGUUGAGAAGCACAUGCAGACGUUCCACCACAGGGAGAAGAAAAAGGUGCCGUCGUUUGUGGACUGGUUCGGGUGGUGCACGUGGGACGCUUUCUACACGGACGUGACGGCCGACGGCGUCAAGCAAGGGCUCCGCAGCCUGGCGGAGGGCGGCGUGCCGCCUCGGUUCCUCAUCAUUGACGACGGCUGGCAGCAGAUCGGCAGCGAGAACAAGGAGGACCCCAGCGUCGCUGUCCAGGAAGGGGCGCAGUUCGCGAGCAGGCUCACCGGCAUCAAGGAGAACACCAAGUUCCAGAGCAAGCAUGACCAGGACGACACCCCGGGGCUGAAGCGGCUGGUGGAGGAGACCAAGAAGGAGCACGGCGUCAAGAGCGUCUACGUCUGGCACGCCAUGGCCGGCUACUGGGGCGGCGUCAAGCCGUCGGCGGCCGGGAUGGAGCACUACGAGUCGGCGCUGGCGUACCCCGUGCAGUCGCCGGGCGUCACGGGCAACCAGCCGGACAUCGUCAUGGACUCGCUCUCCGUGCUCGGCCUCGGCCUCGUGCACCCCCGCAAGGUCUACAACUUCUACGACGAGCUCCACGCCUACCUGGCCGCCUGCGGCGUCGACGGCGUCAAGGUGGACGUGCAGAACAUCGUGGAGACCCUCGGCGCGGGCCACGGCGGCCGCGUCGCGCUCACCCGCGCCUACCACCGCGCGCUAGAGGCCUCCGUCGCCCGCAACUUCCCGGACAACGGCUGCAUCUCCUGCAUGUGCCACAACACCGACAUGCUCUACAGCGCCAAGCAGACCGCCGUCGUGCGCGCCUCCGACGACUUCUACCCGCGCGACCCGGCGUCGCACACCGUCCACAUCUCCUCCGUCGCAUACAACACGCUCUUCCUCGGCGAAUUCAUGCAGCCCGACUGGGACAUGUUCCAUAGCCUGCACCCGGCGGCGGAGUACCACGGCGCGGCGAGGGCCAUCGGCGGCUGCCCCAUUUAUGUCAGCGACAAGCCUGGGAACCACAACUUCGACCUUCUCAAGAAGUUGGUGCUCCCCGACGGCUCCGUGCUCCGCGCGCAGCUCCCCGGCAGGCCCACGCGCGACUGCCUCUUCUCCGACCCGGCGCGCGAUGGUGCCAGCUUGCUCAAGAUAUGGAACAUGGACAAGUGCGCCGGCGUGGUGGGGGUGUUCAACUGCCAGGGCGCGGGGUGGUGCCGCGUCGUCAAGAAGACGAGGAUCCACGACGAGGCGCCCGGGACGCUCACCGGCUCGGUGCGCGCCGAGGACGUGGAGGGCAUCGCUCAGGCCGCCGGCACCGACGACAGGGGCGGUGACGCCGUGGUGUACGCGCACCGGGCGGGGGAGCUCGUGCGGCUGCCCCGGGGCGCCACGCUGCCGGUGACGCUCAAGAGGCUCGAGUACGAGCUGUUCCACGUCUGCCCCAUCCGCACCGUGGCGCCGGACGUGUCCUUCGCGCCCAUCGGGCUGCUCCACAUGUUCAACGCCGGCGGCGCCGUCGAAGAAUGCACCGUCAAGACGGACGAGGACGACAAGGCCACUGUGGCGCUCAGGGUGCGCGGCUGCGGCCGGUUUGGCGCGUACUGCUCGCGGAGGCCGGUGAAAUGCUCCCUCGACUCGGGUGACGUGGAGUUUGGCUACAACACCGAGAAUGGGCUCGUCACGGUCGAUGUGCCGGUCCCGGAGAAGGAUAUGUACCGGUGGACGUUGGAGAUUCGGGUCUAG
rnacentral:rRNA from 1 species